GCGUCAGUAGCGCAACAGUUUGAGCACGCGCCUUUUGAUAAGGUCAAAUGUGGGUUCGAGUCCCACCUUAUGCA